UUAAAUUGAAGAGUUUGAUCAUGGCUCAGAUUGAACGCUGGCGGCAGGCCUAACACAUGCAAGUCAAGCGGAAACGAGCUAUCUGAACCUUCGGGGAACGAUAACGGCGUCGAGCGG
rnacentral:rRNA from 1 species